CACGUAGGGGACGAGCGUUGUCCGGAUUCAUUGGGCGUAAAGAGCGUGUAGGCGGCCAUGCAGGUCCGUUGUGAAAACUCGAGGCUUAACCUCGAGAUGUCGAUGGAAACCGCAUGGCUAGAGUCCGGAAGAGGAGAGUGGAGUUCCAGGUGUAGCGGUGAAAUGCGCAGAUAUCGGGAGGAACACCAAUGGCGAAGGCAGCUCGCUGGGACGGUACUGACGCUGAGACGCGAAAGCGUGGGGAGCAAACAGG
rnacentral:rRNA from 1 species